rnacentral:rRNA from 1 species
CCUACGGGUGGCAGCAGUGAGGAAUAUUGGUCAAUGGGCGGAAGCCUGAACCAGCCAAGUCGCGUGCAGGAUGACGGCUCUACGGGUUGUAAACUGCUUUUAUCCGGGAAUAAAACCAGUUACGUGUACCUCUUUGCAUGUACCGUAUGAAUAAGGAUCGGCUAAAUCCGUGCCAGCAGCCGCGGUAAUACGGAGGAAUCGAGCGUUAUCCGGAUUUAUUGGGUUUAAAGGGUGCGUAGGCCGCCGGUUAAGUGCGCUGGGAAAUGCCCGGGCUCAACCCCGGCCGUGCCGCUAAAACUGGCGUGCUAGAGUGUGCGAGAGGUAGGCGGAAUGCGUGGUGUAGCGGUGAAAUGCUUAGAGAUGACGAAGAACCCCGAUUGCGAAGGCAGCUUACUGCCGCACAACUGACGCUGAUGCACGAAAGCGUGGGUAUCGAACAGGAUUAGAUACCCUGGUAGUC